rnacentral:tRNA from 2 species
GGAGUCGUGACCGAGUGGCCGAAGGUGCUCCCCUGCUAAGGGAGUAUUCGCCAAAAGCGAAUCGAGGGUUCGAAUCCCUCCGACUCCGCCA